AAGGAGAAGAAGAAGGAGAUAUACCUGCUGUAGGAGAGAAAGCUUCGGUUAGGGCAAGAGGAGGUCGCGACCUGUGCCUGGGUUCGACUCCAGACGUCGAGCGAGGGUCGGCUGCAGUCGCGUGGGAGAGGGAGACGUCGGCUAGGAGCAGGAGUUCCGUCUGGGGCUCGGCUCUGGCGAAGGGGUCGGAUGGGCUUCGGCCUUGGCUGGCCUCCGUGAGCAAGAGAGAAAUAAGAGGGACGAGGGAGGUCAUCAGCUAAGAAUGGCGGGAGCAGAUCCGUCGAAGAGGGUCGGCCUGGCUGGGGUCGCGCGAACAGAGAAGAGCGAGAGCGGGAGCGAGAGAGAGUUGGCCGCACGAGAGAAAAGAGAGGCGACUCGUUUCUCUGGGAUCCCCCGAACUAAAGGGCGGCCUGGCGUGAAAAAUGGAUCCCUCGGCCUUAGUUAGGGCACGAAAGGGAGAGAGGGGAGAUCGGAGCCGUCAAAUCAAUUUCUUGAUCCAACGAUGGGAUUCAAAUUGGCUUGGAAAGUUAAUUAAGUUUUGAUUAGGAUUUAGUAAGACUCAUUAGGCUGAAAGCAGGCUCAAAUCAAACACAACUCGACUCAGUCCAGGCUAGCUUAGACUCGACUCAACUAGACCAAAUUAAAGCAAUAAAAAUCAAAAUCCAAAUCAACGUUAAUUCGAAUUGAAUCAAGCCCGACGAAGCCCGAUCAACUCAACCAAGUGCACUCAAAACUAAUCAGGACAAAAACGAGGUCAACAGCCCCUCCUACUUAACUUUCCCUAAAGCUUCAUGAGGGGUAGAAUUGGCAAAAUGGUUUAAAGUUUACUUAAACGAAUUUUGACAAUUUUUAAUUUUAAUAUCGUGCAAAAUUAGAUAUAUGUUAUUUAUACCAUUUUGAUCGAAAUUUUGCGUAAAAUUUUAUAAAAUUUAUUGCGUCGAAUUCUGAUGACUUUGAAAUUGUCUAAUUUUAUCGCGGUGCAUCGAAAUGCGUGCGGCACUAAUGAUCGAUAUAUUUCAGGUUUUACACCCUCCACCUAUAUGCUUUGAGACCGGAAAACUUGAUUUUAAAAGUGUUUAGGUGGGUCUAGCUGGUAGUCCUUUCUAGACAUGAUAAUAAAUUCAGGGGUCGGGCUGGCUAUGCUUCAUGUGAGACGUAUUUUGUAAGUCCCUUUUCAUUCUAUUAGAUUUAGGUUCGAGGCACUACCUCUCAGUAAUCCUUGCCUUAGUUUUAGGAUCUGAGAUAAUGGUUGAUUCCAAUAACCAUACAAGUCCUCUCCUUUUGGGCAGUUCCUCCAACAUAUUUAUUUGGAAUGUAUGUCCCAAACUUCUAAUAAAAAUGUCAACUUAAACAAAAGUUAGAUUUUUAAAAUGUAAAGCCCAACAUAGGAUAGUCCGAGCACCUCUGAGAUUUCUCAGAAUCAAGUGCUCCUACUUCAUUUGACUCUCAUUUCAAAAUCUGAUUCUAAGUUGAUUCUUUCCCCCUUAGAAUUCCUAAAGGCCAAAACCUUUAAAUAAGACUUUCAUGGAUUCUAAAAAUAAAAUUUAGCCAAUAUUUAAAUGAUUUCAAAAAGAAAAGAAAAUCACUAGUUUAAUCAAAAGUUUUCUCAAGUACCAAAGCUUGAGAUGCAAUUAAUCAUAAGGGCUUGCCCCUAUGGAAGAUCUGUACCCCAUAAUAAAUAAUUCCCAUUCGACCAAACAUUGAAUUUGGAAAUCUCUGUUAAAUUGUAAAUUUUAUUAUUGAGUCCAUAAAGAAAUGAUAUUUUUCCCCUUCCGGAUAAUAUAUCAUCAUUCUUAUGCCAUACUCGAUCAUAAAGUAUGCAAUCAUUUUGAGGACAACAAAAAUUCUCCAACAAUUGGCAUCCUUAAGAACAACGUCGAAGGUGUCGGUUAUCAUUUAUGUAACUAUAUAAUACAGAAUACUUCUUAUUUGUCAGAUCAAUCUUUCUAAUUUCAUCAUAUGUUGUUGAAUUCUAAUAUAAUUAAUAAUUAAAUAUUCUUAAAGAGGAAGGAAACUAUAAAUUUACCUCAAUAAAUUUUUCUCCACUUCACUAUUGAAUCAAGGCUUGCUUCGCUUGGAUUCUUCCUAUCGACAAUAAUAUUUUACUUCUUCAAUUAGAGUAAUGAAAAUAUAAUUUUUUAAGUUGAACAUAAAUCGAUAAUUUAAGCACUUACUCUUUCCUCCAGAGUUAGGGAAUGGAAGAAAUUCAAAAAAUUACAAAUUCUUCUAUCUUCCAAACUUUCUUCCUCUACGCUCAAUUUAGAUAUCGACCUUUUCUUAGGUUUAAAUCUUGGAAGAAAUUGCCCAAAAAAAUGAACAAACUUACCUUCCAUCUCCUUUUUCCUCUCGGCACAGUUACUCUCGGCUGAAGCUUCUCACAUUCAUUUGCUUUCAUUGGAGUGAGUGAAUGAAGUUAUUUCUCACGAUUAGUCACUUCCUUUCACUCCCACAUACGAUUCCUUACUCGAAUAUGCAAUCUAAACCCGCCGUCCCUUCUCGCGCCUGCGUUCUGUCCGCAUGCUUCAUUCGUUCAGCCCUCUUGUUCACUUGUUUGUUUGAUAGGAGCCGAUUCAUUUACUGGUUCAAAUAAACCGGCUGAACCAAUUAUUAUAACCCCCCUCAUUAUAAAAAUUUCAUCCUUGAAAUUUUUAAAAAAUAAAAAUAAAUGGGUAUACCUUCGUUGAAUAGAUAUGAAUAUUGAGCUUUCAUCUUUUAUUCUUUCUCCUAAGUGGCAUCUCUUUAAAUUCCAUGCUUCCAUAAAAUCUUUAUAAAUGGUUGCUCUCGAUUUCUCAGUUGUUUCACAUCAUAUUUCAAUAUUCUUUCAGGCUCUUCAACAUAUUUUAAAUCAGGUUGUAGUUUAAUGGAUUUUGAUAGAAUUCUCUUUGACUCAUAUGAUAUAUAUUUGCGAAGCAUAGAUAUAUGAAAAACAUUGUGCAUUCAUUGCAUAUGUAGUUGUAGAUCCAAUAUGUACGCAAUUGCAGUGCUGAGAAAAAUAUGUAUUGGUAGAUCCGUGCCGCUCCUAAUCGGCACCGCAGCGCUACAUGCUCGUUCCAUUGUUUUUGUAGAACAGAGAGCAUCAACACGACCACUUCAAAUUUCAGCACCCUAGAGUCGCGACACUCAAAAUCCCAAUGCUGUAGCGCCACAGUUCAUAAAUUUUAGAUUUAUCAAAUAAAUCCAUUUAAGGACUCUUUCUUGUUAUAGUUCUUCCCUUUAUACGACUUCAAUCCAAUGGAUGAGAUUGAGUCUUGCUGUCCCUAGAGUGUUGUAGGUGUGUAGGCAGCAAGAAGCAUAAUAAAAGCUGAAAAGAAGUGCAGCGAGCAGCUGUCCUUUCUCUCCUCCAGCCAUUGAUGCAGUUUCCUGAACAUACUUGAAUUUGCCACUUUUUUUUUUAUUUGUCUUAAAACUACAUAUGUACCAUAUUUUUUACCUGAUCUCUUCAACUUAAAUUAACAAUUUUUUUGUAUGGCAUAAAAUAUAAUAUCCGCUUCAACUGCUCUUUGCUCUCAAGUAGUUGCAGAUGGCAUUAUUCAAGGGAGGGCAAACUUGGGCAUGAUGCUGAUGACGCGUGAUCUACAAUGAUUAGUUGCAUAUGGAAAAUAUUUUUUGAAGUUUGAGCUAAGGAACAGGGAAGUGAGUGUAGGGAGGCCACUCUCCUAAAAAUAUCUGUGCUAGAUAAGAUAAAGAACUUGUGGGAGAUUGUACCUAUGGUUGCUGGAGAGAGGUUUUUAAGCAUGCUUCCAUCAUGGCAUGCUUAUGAGCGUGCUGCUGAGUACUUCGCAUUUGCCUCGGGGGUUGAGCAGGUUUACACAAAUAUGGCAAAAUUGAAGGGCGAUUUGAAGCGGUAUCAGCCCCAAUACAUAAUUUCAGUUCCUCUGGUUUAUGAAACAAUCUACAGGUUAGUAUUAUCAAUAUUAGCUACAGAUUUUGAAUUGUCAUCUGACUGGAUUGUUGUUUACUUGCAGAUUUCUAAAAAAUAGCACUUAUGCUUUAUUCAACUUAGUGCUUGCUAGCAUUGUUUUGUUUAAUAUUAUGAAUAUGGUCCUUCUAUAAAUAUUGACAUGAGCACUUUCCUCCCUUGAGAAAUUAUUACCUAUUCAACUUUAUGAUCCCUUCUAAUCCUUCUUUUGUAGAAAUUCCAUCAGUAUUGAUUCGUAUGCCUGCGCUGAGGAAAAUCCUUGUUUACGAGAAAGUCUUUUACAAUUUUACUUGUUUCCAUUACAUGAUACCUUGCCGUAGUGAUUAGUUUAAUUUUUCCAUGUGAUUUGAUAUACUUCUUAGACUUUCAUGAUAGAAAGAUCCUUGUUUACAUUUGUUUGAAUAAAAUAAAUUAAAAUAAUAAUAAUAAAUAAAUAAAGAGGGAUGGGGCACGUCGGCACAUCGCUAAAACUAAAUGUGCACGUCGUUGAUGGAACGACUCGUACAAGAGAAUGAAAAAAAUUAGAACUCACGCUCACUCGCACUGAUUUCAAUUUCAAUCACGUUUGGCUUUUGACGCUCAAUCUUGUUGACAUGUUUUUUUGCAUCAACCCGACCUCGAUCCAGUCAGGCUCGAUCGCACUUGACCAACUUGAUCGAGCGUCGUUGAACAAAAAUCAACCCAAACAAAGCCUCAAUUUAAUUAAAUAAAGCUCAAUUUAAUUAAGUUAAAGUCAAAUUAAUCGGACCGACUUAAAAUUGGUCCAAAUCGAACCAAAUCGGACCUCUUUGAACUAAAUUUGAUUCAUUUCGACACCGAUUCAAGCUUAAUUUUGUGAAAUUGACUUAGACAGGCCCAAUCGAAUUUGAGCCGACUCAUAUCGAUUCGGACUCAACCCUAGCCCAAUUGACCCAAUCUAGAUCCAAUUAACCCCAAAUAGGUUAAAUUGACCUCUUGGUCCUUUCUCAUAAUUUGCCCAAAUCGGGAAUCCCCAUCCAAUGGCCAAGAUUAAAAAAUCGGCGGCUACAGUGUCAAAUCCCUUACUUUUCCUCUAAUUUGUGUGGCUACAAUAAUAUAUCACAUGAAAGAUCCACUUGAGAGAAAAAAAAGUCCCCAUGUUUCGUGUAUAGAGGGAGCAGGAGGCAAGAGAAGAGGUUAUUCGACUGUUGCUUGUUGUGUGCAUCCAGACCAAGCAGAAGAAAGCGACAGGGAAAGGGAUUCGGGACUCCUUGAGGAAGCAGCCGAUUGAGCCUUGUUGACCUCCGCAGACAAACCCAAAAGAACGAAAAAUAAUACUUGUAAACUGUUGGAUUCACGAAACCUGCCGCAAAUCCAGCUGAAAUCGGCGCCGAACAAUCGCAUCCCGUGAUUUCUGCUUGAAGCCCGCUCUCGAUCUCUACCCGCUCGCGUCGUUAAAUACCCGACCCAAACGAGGCUUUCGUUUGCGGCUUCCUUCUGUUCGAUCCCACACACACGAACUCCUGCCCUCUCCCAUUCGCUGCUCCCUCUUCUCUUCCAUUUCACGAUCAAAGCCUCUGACCGAGCUCAAGCCCAGUCCGAUCCAAGCCAU